UAUUUAUAUACAUACGUAGACUAAUAAUAAUAAUAUUUAUUUAUUUAAUAAUAAUGAUAUACCAAAUACAUUAUAUAAAAUAAAUACAAUCUAACAUAUAUAUAGUGCUGAGUAGUUAUACCAAUCACCUUCUCUCUUCGUUACAGUACCUGUUGAGAAUCACCAGUUUGAGUCUUUUUUUAAACAGUCUUGCUUGGACUUUGCUUCAGCUCUUUUUGAAGUUUUUUCCAGACCUUCACACCACUGACUGAAAUGCACAUUCUCUUCAUGUUUAGCAACACUGUGAAAUCGAUGUUUGACAAUGAAGCUAAAUAGAAACUGUAAUUGAAGAUUGAGAGAGAGAGAUGGACAGACGGCGGAUAGAGUAGAGAGAGAGAGAGAGAGAGAGAGAGAGAGAGAGAGAGAGAGAGAGAGAGAGAGAGAGAGAGACUAAUGGAGAGAGCAGGGAUCUGAUUUCCGGCAACACGUAGCUGAGGACAGAGCAGGUCCCUAUCCGCUCUUCUUCCGCCCACUUCUCGCUACCCCGUGCAGAGCUCAUGCAUGUGAGCUCCAUGUGGGACCGGCGACACCGUCCAACGGUCAGAGGCUACUGGUGACUUUACAGAGACGGACGGGACUCGGCGGAAUCACGCCGUUAGAACCGAGCUCGUCGUUCGGGGUGAUGAAACGCUCCACUCUUCCGACCCAGGAGCAGCCUGCCCUGGAGGGCGUGGCCGAAGAGGAGGACGUGUUGGCCGCGGAGGUGAGCUCCACGAGCACGCUGGAGCCCGGCCACACUCAGGUAGCUUGUGAGGAAGAGGAUAAGAGGGAGGAAGAGGCCCAGCUGUCAGUGUCUGGGAUGGAAGCAGAGUUUGUCCAGCUGACCUUCAGGAAGCAGGUGUCCUAUAGGAAAGCUAUAGCUAAAUCGGGCCUGCACCAUCUGCCCUGUCAGCCGGGCACAUCGUCUCUGAACAGGAGCGACCCAGAAGCAGAUAUCCGCAGCACUUUGGACUGGACUGAGUCGGCAGUGUAUGGAGAUCACAUCUGGUUUGAAACCAACGUGUCUGGAGACUACUGUUAUGUGGGAGAGGAACACUGUAUAGCCAGAGCACUACAAAAGUCUGUCAGUCGAAGGAAGUGUGCUGCCUGUAAGAUAGUGGCCCACACCAUCUGUAUUGAGCAACUGGAUAAGAUUAACUUCAGGUGUAAACCGUCCUUCAGAGAAUCCGGCUCAAGGAACAUCCGAGAGUCUAUUGUAGUGCGUCAUCACUGGGUGCAUCGGAGACGGCAGGAAGGCAAAUGUAAACAAUGUGGGAAGGGCUUCCAGCAGAAGUUUGCAUUCCACAGCAAGGAGAUUGUGGCCAUCAGCUGCUCUUGGUGCAAACAGGCUUACCACAACAAGGUGUCUUGCUUCAUGCUUCAGCAAAUCGAGGAGGCUUGUCCAAUAGGAGCCCACGCUGCUCUUAUAGUUCCACCCACAUGGAUCAUUCGAGUCCGGCGCCAUCAGUCAUCUAUUAAGGCGAGUAAGAAGAAGAAGAGAGCAUCGUUCAAGAGGAAAUGCAGCAAGAAGGGAGCCGAGGAAGGACGGCAGUGGAGGCCCUUUUUAAUCCGCCCCAUCCCUGCACCACUGAUGAAGCCACUGCUGGUGUUUGUUAAUCCCAAGAGCGGAGGAAACCAGGGUGCUAAGAUCCUGCAGUCCUUCAUGUGGUAUCUGAACCCCAGACAGGUAUUUGACCUGAGCCAUGGCGGACCAAAGGAAGGCCUGGAGCUGUAUCGUAAAGUUCAUAACCUGAGGAUCAUGGCCUGUGGAGGAGAUGGCACAGUGGGCUGGAUCCUGUCUUGUCUUGAUGAACUGGCCUUGAAUCCUCAACCUCCCGUUGCCGUGUUACCACUUGGGACAGGAAAUGACCUCGCCAGGACCCUCAACUGGGGGGGGGGGUACACAGACGAGCCCCUGUCAAAGAUCCUCUCCCAUGUUGAAGACGGAGCGGUGGUCCAGCUGGACAGAUGGAAUCUACAUGUGGAACCAAACCACAGUGCAGAGGCUGAGCCGGACGAGCACCAGGCUGAUAAGCUUCCUCUAGAUAUUUUCAACAAUUACUUCAGCCUUGGAUUUGAUGCCCAUGUGACUCUAGAGUUCCAUGAGUCAAGAGAAGCCAACCCAGAGAAGUUUAACAGUCGUUUUAGGAAUAAGAUGUUCUAUGCUGGGACAGCAUUCUCAGAUUUUCUGAUGCGAAGCUCCAAAGACCUGUCAAAGCACAUCAAUGUGGUGUGUGACGGGACCGAUCUAACGUCAAAGGUCCAGGACUUGAAGCUGCAGUGUUUGGUCUUCCUCAACAUUCCCAGAUACUGUGCAGGGACGACGCCUUGGGGAAACCCCGGUGAGCAUCACGACUUUGAACCUCAACGUCAUGAUGAUGGAUACAUCGAGGUCAUCGGAUUCACUAUGACGUCACUGGCUACUCUCCAGGUCGGGGGUCAUGGCGAGAGGUUGAACCAGUGCAGGGAAGUCAUCCUCACCACCACAAAACCUCUUCCAGUACAGGUGGACGGUGAACCGUGCAGACUGGCUCCCUCUGUCAUCCGCAUCAGCCUCAGAAACCAGGCGAACAUGGUGCAGAAAACCAAACGGCAGACCUCUCUGCCACACCUCAACGAUCAGCAGCCAGUUCCGGAGAGGCUGAGGAUCCGAGUCAGCAGGAUCAGUAUGACGGACUACGAGGCUUUGCACUAUGACAAGGACAAACUAAGACAAGCAUCCAUUCCUCUGGGGCUCAUCGUGGUUUCUGGUGACAGCGACUUAGAAACCUGCAGAGAACACAUCCAGCGCCUCCAGGAGGAGACAGCCAAGCCAAAGAGUCUUUCCUCGCAAAGAUUAUCUCCAAAGUGGUGUUUCCUAGACUGUAAGUACAUCGCUACUGCUCUUUCCUUCAUCAGUUCUUCAACCAAGUCAAAUCCCUACUCGCUCCUGAUUCAAGGUAGAUAA
ensembl:lncRNA